UACAUAUGCCAUUAAAACGAUAACUCUUUAACCUGGUCAGGAUAGAAAUAUAGCAGCCACAUAAGAAAGUGUUGUGUUUAAUGGUACUUUAUUAUUU
rnacentral:SRP_RNA from 3 species